rnacentral:lncRNA from 1 species
CUUCCACAUGGCCACCAAGUCAAGUUCUCAAGCACAUAAAACAAGACGAGAAGGAAACUUCAUCCAGUUUUUCUUUCAGGGACCUGCAGCAAAGUUUUUACCCAACUAAUGGGUUGGGCUGGCUCAAAUAGUUGGCUUAUAGGUAUCCUAGGCUUAUAUUCUAUUUUCUCUUACCCCUCUCCAUGACAGAGUGACACAGAAAGACAAAUUCAUAGCACAAAGUACACUCAUUCAAUACAGCCUAAGGCUAAUCUCAUAAAUCCUUUUUCCCAUUAAUGGAAACCUUGCAGAGGAGGCAAACAGUAAUUUUUAUCGUUUACUCAUCUGGUUUGCACAGAGACUGAGAGGCCAGAAGCCUGACUGGUCCACUGUGGAUCAACAGUGUAGCUCUGCUCAGCACACUGACUUAGGAACUGAGCCAACAGAAACUCCAACUCAACACAUUUUUUCUAGUAACACCAGAGCAGAAAAAUAACCUUAAAACAUCUAAUCUGGAGUGACGCAUGUCAUCAAUGACUAUAUUUCAUCUACUAAAGCAACUGAGGAUACAUGUAUAUUCAAAUGAAAUGAUGUUGGAAUUCCAUCAACAAGAACUAUAUUUUCAAGGACCUGAGAGCCAUUUCUUCCAGAUGCAAACAUCCAGAGAAAUAACUCCAGCUCUCCCUCACAGCCUGAAGCUAUUAAACUCCAAACGGUGCUGGCAGAUGGAACCAAGCAUGGACAUGCCCUCCUUCCAAGGACCCUUCGAUUGACCCCAGGAGGAGCCCUGGCUGCUGUUCCCCACAUGACACCCCUCUUCAGCAGGGAGUAGUCAGAAAGAGUUCAUCCAACACCCCCUAAUAGCAGUUGGGAUUUCAACUCCUUAGGGGGAAGAUGAUACAGGAGGUAGAAAUAAGUUAUUUAGGCAGGUAGUGAGGGGAACAGAGUCCUCAGCAGAGCUUCCCUUCUAACAAAAAGCAGUCUUCAAAAUCAUUUCUUUUCUAGCCUGGAAAAUCAAGCUGCAAAUAUAGAUAAGCACGCUGGAAGCUUGCAUGGAUGAAUGCCAGCAGCUGCACCAAUAGAAAAGGGCUAUUUAGGGGCCAGGCAUGUCCAACAUGGAGGCUCCAUCUUUCCUUUUUUUGUCACCACGUGUACAGGAACAAAGGAAUGGGCAACAUGGUGCAGCUCAGGCAGAGAAGCCGCCUGCAUAAUAAAAGUUUAGGGUGGAGGUGGCCAGAAAUUCAUGCCCUAUGCAAAUGACACACCUAGUCCCAACUAGUUUUUUGCACCCCACACAAAUGGCACACCUAGUCCAACUAGUCUUUUGCACCCUAUGUAAAUCAGACAUUACCUCCAUACCAGCUCAUCUGUAAAGCUCCCUGCAUUCCACUGCAGAUUCAGCAACUCACUUCUCCGGGACCCCUCUUUGCAGCAGAGAGUCCUUCUCUUUCUUUCACCUAUUGAACUUCCACUUUUUUUUUCUUUUUUUAUUUUAUUUUAUUAUUAUUAUACUUUAAGUUUUAGGGUACAUGUGCACAUGUGCAGGUUAGUUAAUAUGUAUACAUGUGCCAUGCUGGUGUGCUGCACCCAUUAACUCGUCAUUUAGCAUUAGGUAUAUCUCCUAAAGCUAUCCUUCCGCCCUCCCCCGACUCCACAACAGUCCCCAGAGCACUCUUAACCUCACUCUGUGUGUGUCUACAUCCUUGUUCUUCGUGGCUGUGAGACCAUGAACCUCAGGUGAUACUCUAUGCAACAAUGCUGUUUCAAUAUUACUCAAAAUGAUGAUUUAAAAAUACUGAGAAAUUACAAUAUAAAUAAUUUGACAAAGAUUGCAUAGGUAACCAGGAUUAGAACUUAUAAGUGCCUCACAAGUCCUUUGUC